rnacentral:lncRNA from 1 species
GACCAACGAAAUGAUCAGGCAGCAAUUUCUUUGUUCUGGAAAUUAGUUGAGACUAUUUAACAGCCUCGGGGGCCCUCCGCAGCACAGGGAACGAGGAUUCUCAGUGGAUAUUUCCUUUGCUGGAGGAGGAAAUCAUGUUGUGAGGAAAAUGAAACCGAGGAAGACUAGGACUAUUCAAAAUGAGGCCCAUACGCGGCUGCUGGUCCAUGUCUGGAUGAAGCCUAUGAAAUAAUCAGAAGACCUGAGCUGUGACAUUCAGGAACCUUUACAGCGAGACUGUGACAGUUGGAUGUCACAAUUUGCAAACGAGAUUGGGUUUUCCAUCUCUUUAUUAUUUCAGUUUCCUACUUUUGCUUGUUUAUUGCAUUUUUACCAAUGCACUUGUCUGCAUUGCUCAACAGAACUCCACAGAGACUCUGCAAGACUCACUGAAGGCUGGUGGGCUUCAAGAAAUCUCUUUACUGUCAUUAGAAUGUGCAUUGUCUCUGUGUUUUAAGGUGUAUGAGUCCACAUGAAUGUAGUGAGAAACACGGGACACAAGCAUUGAUGGUGGUUGCU